rnacentral:rRNA from 1 species
GAUGAACGCUGGCGGCGUGCCUAAUACAUGCAAGUCGAGCGAACGGACGAGAAGCUUGCUUCUCUGAUGUUAGCGGCGGACGGGUGAGUAACACGUGGAUAACCUACCUAUAAGACUGGGAUAACUUCGGGAAACCGGAGCUAAUACCGGAUAAUAUUUUGAACCGCAUGGUUCAAAAGUGAAAGACGGUCUUGCUGUCACUUAUAGAUGGAUCCGCGCUGCAUUAGCUAGUUGGUAAGGUAACGGCUUACCAAGGCAACGAUGCAUAGCCGACCUGAGAGGGUGAUCGGCCACACUGGAACUGAGACACGGUCCAGACUCCUACGGGAGGCAGCAGUAGGGAAUCUUCCGCAAUGGGCGAAAGCCUGACGGAGCAACGCCGCGUGAGUGAUGAAGGUCUUCGGAUCGUAAAACUCUGUUAUUAGGGAAGAACAUAUGUGUAAGUAACCGUGCACAUCUUGACGGUACCUAAUCAGAAAGCCACGGCUAACUACGUGCCAGCAGCCGCGGUAAUACGUAGGUGGCAAGCGUUAUCCGGAAUUAUUGGGCGUAAAGCGCGCGUAGGCGGUUUUUUAGUCUGAUGUGAAAGCCCACGGCUCAACCGUGGAGGGUCAUUGGAAACUGGAAAACUUGAGUGCAGAAGAGGAAAGUGGAAUUCCAUGUGUAGCGGUGAAAUGCGCAGAGAUAUGGAGGAACACCAGUGGCGAAGGCGACUUUCUGGUCUGUAACUGACGCUGAUGUGCGAAAGCGUGGGGAUCAAACAGGAUUAGAUACCCUGGUAGUCCACGCCGUAAACGAUGAGUGCUAAGUGUUAGGGGGUUUCCGCCCCUUAGUGCUGCAGCUAACGCAUUAAGCACUCCGCCUGGGGAGUACGACCGCAAGGUUGAAACUCAAAGGAAUUGACGGGGACCCGCACAAGCGGUGGAGCAUGUGGUUUAAUUCGAAGCAACGCGAAGAACCUUACCAAAUCUUGACAUCCUUUGACAACUCUAGAGAUAGAGCCUUCCCCUUCGGGGGACAAAGUGACAGGUGGUGCAUGGUUGUCGUCAGCUCGUGUCGUGAGAUGUUGGGUUAAGUCCCGCAACGAGCGCAACCCUUAAGCUUAGUUGCCAUCAUUAAGUUGGGCACUCUAAGUUGACUGCCGGUGACAAACCGGAGGAAGGUGGGGAUGACGUCAAAUCAUCAUGCCCCUUAUGAUUUGGGCUACACACGUGCUACAAUGGACAAUACAAAGGGCAGCGAAACCGCGAGGUCAAGCAAAUCCCAUAAAGUUGUUCUCAGUUCGGAUUGUAGUCUGCAACUCGACUACAUGAAGCUGGAAUCGCUAGUAAUCGUAGAUCAGCAUGCUACGGUGAAUACGUUCCCGGGUCU